AUUCCUGUGUGAUUCCAGACACAGAAACAUCAGCAAACAUCUCAACACAUGUUGGAACAGAUCUUAAGUAAAAUAAAAAAAAGCAAGAACAAGAACCAGCAGACCUACCUUUAGAUUCUUGGUCCUCUGCCAGGACAUCAUCAGGUGAGGGUUCCUGCUGUAGAGGGAAGCAUGUGCAUGGAGCGUGGAGUCUAAGAACCACCCAGCAGAGGAGUAGCCUUGAGAGCAUGGUCAGCCUGGUGCUUGGAACAGUGAGAGGAACCAAAACUCAAUAAAUGAACACUGAGAGAAAGACUUAGAGUGGAACACAUCUUCCUCUGUGCAACACUGGAUAGGAGCAGAAACAACAGAGGGGAUGAUGAAAACAGAAGCUAGUAUUUCUUAAAUUAAAGUAAUAGAUAACUGAAACACAGCUUAAU